AGAGUUUGAUCCUGGCUCAGGACGAACGCUGGCGGCGCGCCUAACACAUGCAAGUCGAACGAGCGAGAGAGAGCUUGCUUUCUCGAGCGAGUGGCGAACGGGUGAGUAACGCGUGAGGAACCUGCCUCAAAGAGGGGGACAACAGUUGGAAACGACUGCUAAUACCGCAUAAGCCCACAGGUCGGCAUCGACCAGAGGGAAAAGGAGCAAUCCGCUUUGAGAUGGCCUCGCGUCCGAUUAGCUAGUUGGUGAGGUAAUGGCCCACCAAGGCGACGAUCGGUAGCCGGACUGAGAGGUUGAACGGCCACAUUGGGACUGAGACACGGCCCAGACUCCUACGGGAGGCAGCAGUGGGGAAUAUUGCACAAUGGGGGAAACCCUGAUGCAGCGACGCCGCGUGGAGGAAGAAGGUCUUCGGAUUGUAAACUCCUGUUGUUGAGGAAGAUAAUGACGGUACUCAACAAGGAAGUGACGGCUAACUACGUGCCAGCAGCCGCGGUAAAACGUAGGUCACAAGCGUUGUCCGGAAUUACUGGGUGUAAAGGGAGCGCAGGCGGGAAGACAAGUUGGAAGUGAAAUCUAUGGGCUCAACCCAUAAACUGCUUUCAAAACUGUUUUUCUUGAGUAGUGCAGAGGUAGGCGGAAUUCCCGGUGUAGCGGUGGAAUGCGUAGAUAUCGGGAGGAACACCAGUGGCGAAGGCGGCCUACUGGGCACCAACUGACGCUGAGGCUCGAAAGUGUGGGUAGCAAACAGGAUUAGAUACCCUGGUAGUCCACACCGUAAACGAUGAUUACUAGGUGUUGGAGGAUUGACCCCUUCAGUGCCGCAGUUAACACAAUAAGUAAUCCACCUGGGGAGUACGACCGCAAGGUUGAAACUCAAAGGAAUUGACGGGGGCCCGCAC
rnacentral:rRNA from 1 species